CUACGUGUAUGUGUUUCUAAGCAUAACUUCUUGGAAAAAAAGGAAAUUCUUAGAAGCAAUUAAAGUAUCACACCCAUGCUAUACCCUUUGAUUCAUUAGCUUGCUCUAUUUUUCUGUUAUUUUGAAAUUACCCAAGCUGAAGCAGAAAAACUGCCAGGAAAAUGUCACAGCCACCCCUUACUGAACAGCAGAAACACCAGCAAAACACCAACUGCAACAUGGUGUAUUUUGAAGGUGAGAUUAAAGUUACCUACACCUAGAGAAAUAAUUGGAGUGCAUGUCUAUUUGGGCCAAGAGGAUAAAGGCCAGUAGAGGAAUCAGAUCAAAGAACUUCCUCGGGAAGUGUGCAGAGAACUG
rnacentral:lncRNA from 1 species